CCUACGGGGGUCAGCAGUAGGGAAUAUUGCUCAAUGGGGGAAACCCUGAAGCAGCAACGCCGCGUGGAGGAUGAAGGUUUUCGGAUUGUUAACUCCUUUUGUUAGAGAAGAUAAUGACGGUAUCUAACGAAUAAGCACCGGCUAACUCCGUGCCAGCAGCCGCGGUAAUACGGAGGGUGCAAGCGUUACUCGGAAUCACUGGGCUUAAAGAGCGCGUAGGCGGGAUAGCAAGUCAGAUGUGAAAUCCUAUGGGUUAACCAUAGAACUGCAUUUGAAACUGUUAUUCUAGAGUAUGGGAGAGGUAGGUGGAAUUCUUGGUGUAGGGGUAAAAUCCGUAGAGAUCAAGAGGAAUACUCAUUGCGAAGGCGACCUGCUAGAACAUAACUGACGCUGAUGCGCGAAAGCGUGGGGAGCAAACAGGAUUAGAUACCCUAGUAGUC
rnacentral:rRNA from 1 species